rnacentral:rRNA from 1 species
UAGGUCUCAGUUCAGAUUGCAGGCUGCAACCCGCCUGCAUGAAGUCGGAAUUGCUAGUAAUCGCGGAUCAGCAUGCCGCGGUGAAUACGUUCCCGGGCCUUGUACACACCGCCCGUCACACCAUGGGAGCCGGUAAUACCCGAAGUCAGUAGUCCAACCCCGUGAGGACGCUGCCGAAGGUAGGAUUGGCGACUGGGGUGAAGUCGUAACAAGGUACC